CGGGCUCCCGGGUCUCGGUGCGGCGGCCGUGGUCGGCGGCCAUGGGUCGUAACGAUGCGACCCGGGCGAUUCUUCCGGCCGGGGCCCGG
rnacentral:tRNA from 1 species